CCUACGGGAGGCAGCAGUGAGGAAUAUUGGUCAAUGGACGAGAGUCUGAACCAGCCAAGUAGCGUGAAGGAUGACUGCCCUAUGGGUUGUAAACUUCUUUUAUAUGGGAAUAAAAUGUUCCACGUGUGGGAUUUUGUAUGUACCAUAUGAAUAAGGAUCGGCUAACUCCGUGCCAGCAGCCGCGGUAAUACGGAGGAUCCGAGCGUUUUCCGGAUUUAUUGGGUUUAAAGGGAGCGUAGGUGGGUUGUUAAGUCAGUUGGGAAAGGUUGCGGCUCAACCGUAAAAUUGCAGUUGAAACUGGCAUUCUUGAGGGCAGUAGAGGUAGGCGGAAUUCGUGGUGUAGCGGUGAAAUGCUUAGAUAUCACGAAGAACUCCGAUUGCGAAGGCAGCUCACUGGACUGCAACUGACACUGAGGCUCGAAAGUGUGGGUAUCAAACAGGAUUAGAUACCCCUGUAGUC
rnacentral:rRNA from 1 species